rnacentral:misc_RNA from 1 species
UAAGAAAUAGCCAAGCUUCUCUCAUCAUUUACAUCUCAUACUAGAUUUAAGAAAUACUACAAACUUCAUACCAAUUCUCAACCAGGACAACAAAACAUAACCAACUCAUCAUGGGCACUUAGGCUUCUUCUUUGCUCCACCGGUAACCAUGUCGCGGUAGCAGGGGCACUCAUCCUUGUUCCCGUAAGUCCCCGACGGUACACAGUUACACUUAGCGCAGCAGAUCCCACAGUACUUCAGGCAUCGAUCUUUGACGCUCGCCUUCGAGCAGCGCACCUUGCACUUACCGCUGCAGAACACUGUACUGACGACGAAGGUGGCAGAAGUUCGCUCAAUAUAGGAGUCAGUGAGGAUGAUUAUAAGGAGGAGAGCG